rnacentral:piRNA from 1 species
AUGGACUGGAGCUUUUUCUUUGUGAAU